GUGAGGAAUAUUGGACAAUGGGCGCAAGCCUGAUCCAGCCAUGCCGCGUGCAGGAAGACGCAUCUAUGGUGUGUAAACUGCUUUUGUACGGGAAGAAACACUCCCUCGUGAGGGAGCUUGACGGUACCGUAAGAAUAAGGAUCGGCUAACUCCGUGCCAGCAGCGGCGGUAAUACGGAGGAUCCAAGCGUUAUCCGGAAUCAUUGGGUUUAAAGGGUCCGUAGGCGGUUUAAUAAGUCAGUGGUGAAAGCCCAUCGCUCAACGAUGGAACGGCCAUUGAUACUGUUAGACUUGAAUUACAAGGAAGUAACUAGAAUAUGUAGUGUAGCGGUGAAAUGCUUAGAUAUUACAUGGAAUACCAAUUGCGAAGGCAGGUUACUACUUGUGGAUUGACGCUGAUGGACGAAAGCGUGGGGAGCGAACAGGAUUAGAUACCCCUGUAGUCC
rnacentral:rRNA from 1 species